GACCCUCGCAGGAGCCUACCCCUGGAUCUGCCGCACAGGUGUUAAUUCAGCAUUCACGGAAUUAUAGAGAACACGGCAACCACGAAUGACAAGCACCCACUGCAGUGCACAUCUGGAAACAACGAAACAACUGAGCUGAACAAGAGCUAAACGGGCACUCCCUGCCUUACACUCUCAGCAUGCACAGUAGAGAUUAGCAGCAAUAGAGAAAAGGGAACGAGAACUGCAAAGAUUAAGAAUUUUAGAAACAUAAACCAAAUGCAAUGGGAGAUUUCUAUACAGAUCCUGGUACAGACAAAUCAACAGCAGCAAGACAUUCUGAAGACGUGGAGAUACAUGACCACAGAUCUGAAAUCAUCAACAGAGGAAAAAAGACAACCACCACCAGCUCUCUCUGCCUCCCAGCCGGGGCUCCCUUCUCAGCGAGCCAGGCAACGCCGCACCAGCCUGUCGUGUGCUCCGCACAGAAGCA